rnacentral:misc_RNA from 1 species
AUCAUAAUACUACCAAUAUAGUCAUGUUGAUGAUCAAAGCUCUCAAAGUUACCAACAAGAUCCUCCAAGACACUCAUUUUAGUGGUUGUAAAGUUAGUUUUUUUUACUAUAUGUCGAUAUCUAGUAUUCUAAAUUCUAGUUUUGUACUAUCUAUAUAAUUAUUUUUACCUAUAAAUUGGUUAAAGCUAAUGAUGUCUAAAAAUGAUAGAUUUAAUGUUUUUAUUUG